rnacentral:tRNA from 1 species
CAGUAUAGAACUUGAUAGAAAGUAUUUCAUUUACACUGAAAUUUUAUCUGUGCGAUUCAGAUUAUACUGA